UAUUCACAUGAGAACAAAAGGACAAGUGCCAUGAAAAACAGUCAAUGCACCAAGUUAAAAGAUUUAAACAAAGUUGUAAGCCUGGCAGUAUAUACUAGAGUCCCCCAUUCUUACACAAGAUUAAUGAACACUAACUAAUACAACUAAUGGAACACCAUGUUCCUAAAAAUGUGACUUUCCAAUGCCAUCAUUUGAUUAAUGUGAUUUAUAAUUGUGUUAAAACCUGCAUUAGUAUCACUCCGAGGAUCCAUGUGCAUAGUUUUAAGUGUCACUCCCAGAGCCUAUUGAAGCUCCUGCAUGUUUCCAACAGAAGGAGAGCGUGUUUGUUCUUGGCUGCUCCAGUGGAGUCCCGUGAAGAGAGAGCACUGUGGUAUGGCACUUAUCCAAAAGGGACCAUCUGUCCCCCCCCCCUGAAAGUGGGCCUAGCCACACCAGCCUUUGCUGUUAUGGGGAGAAAUAAAAAGGGACAAGCAGGGUUGAUGUGGCCCAGCAGGCCUCCAGAAUAAACCACCACCUAUUUCCAUCAGCACAUAACCCCCCAAGCCUCUUCUCAGUAGCAUGCUGCUUACCAGGCUACCUCCGUACCAACGGCAGCCUGUCACCAGAGUGGACUCUCUCAAAAGGACAAGAGGUACACAAGGAGAGGAGGAGAGGAGUGGUGAGAAGAAUGUUGACAAGAAUGUUUUCAUCUCACAAAAGAGAGUCGAGAAGCCAAUCAAAAGCUGGAGGGAGGGGAUACUGGGCUCAACCACUUCUACAUUUGACCUAGACAUUGCCACCCCACAACAAGCCACCCUGAUGCCACACGAUGAUCCAGCAAAACCAGGCUAAGCUGUGUUUGACUCUGACUCAGAGACUGACACAAAAACUUGUUUUUACUUUACAGACUCCAGAGAGAAGUGUGAAAGAGGAGAUGCGAAACUAUACGGAGAUAUUUUUUGGCACUUAAAACCACAAAA